UACGGAGGGUGCAAGCGUUAAUCGGAAUUACUGGGCGUAAAGCGCACGCAGGCGGUCUGUCAAGUCGGAUGUGAAAUCCCCGGGCUCAACCUGGGAACUGCAUCCGAAACUGGCAGGCUAGAGUCUUGUAGAGGGGGGUAGAAUUCCAGGUGUAGCGGUGAAAUGCGUAGAGAUCUGGAGGAAUACCGGUGGCGAAGGCGGCCCCCUGGACAAAGACUGACGCUCAGGUGCGAAAGCGUGGGGAGCAAACAGGUUUAGCUCCCCUGGUCGUCCCCGCCGUAAACGAUGUCGACUUGGAGGUUGUGCCCUUGAGGCGUGGCUUCCGGAGCUAACGCGUUAAGUCGCCCGCCUGGGGAGUACGGCCGCAAGGUUAAA
rnacentral:rRNA from 1 species